rnacentral:rRNA from 1 species
UACGUAGGGGGCAAGCGUUGUCCGGAUUUAUUGGGCGUAAAGAGCGUGUAGGCGGCUUCACAGGUCCGCUGUGAAAACUCGAGGCUCAACCUCGAGCUGUCGGUGGAAACCGUGUGGCUAGAGUCCGGAAGAGGAGAGUGGAAUUCCCGGUGUGAGCGGUGAAAUGCGCAGAUAUCGGGGAAGAACACCCGUGGCGAAGGCGGCUCUCUGGGACGGUACUGGACGCUGAGACGCGAAAGCGUGGGG